CAGGAGAACUGCCUGAACCCAGGAGGCGGAGGUUGCAGUGAGCCGAGAUCACACCACUGCAUUCCAGCCUGGUGACAGAGUGAGACUGUCU